GUGAGGAAUAUUGGUCAAUGGGCGGGAGCCUGAACCAGCCAAGUCGCGUGAAGGAAGAAGGAUCUAUGGUUCGUAAACUUCUUUUGCAGGGGAAUAAAGUGCAGGACGUGUCCUGUUUUGUAUGUACCCUGAGAAUAAGGAUCGGCUAACUCCGUGCCAGCAGCCGCGGUAAUACGGAGGAUCCGAGCGUUAUCCGGAUUUAUUGGGUUUAAAGGGUGCGUAGGUGGUUUGAUAAGUCAGCGGUGAAAGUUUGCAGCUUAACUGUAAAAAUGCCGUUGAAACUGUCGGACUUGAGUGUAAAUGAGGUAGGCGGAAUGCGUGGUGUAGCGGUGAAAUGCAUAGAUAUCACGCAGAACUCCGAUUGCGAAGGCAGCUUACUAAGCUACAACUGACACUGAAGCACGAAAGCGUGGGGAUCAAACAGGAUUAGAUACCCCUGGUAGUCC
rnacentral:rRNA from 1 species